rnacentral:rRNA from 1 species
CGAGUAGGGCGGGACACGUGAUAUCCUGUCUGAAUAUGGGGGGACCAUCCUCCAAGGCUAAAUACUACUGACUGACCGAUAGUGAACCAGUACCGUGAGGGAAAGGCGAAAAGAACCCCUGUGAGGGGAGUGAAAUAGAACCUGAAACCGUGUACGUACAAGCAGUAGGAGCAGGCUUUGUCCUGUGACUGCGUACCUUUUGUAUAAUGGGUCAGCGACUUAUAUUCAGUGGCAAGGUUAACCAUCUAGGGGAGCCGUAGGGAAACCGAGUCUUAACUGGGCGUUCAGUCUCUGGAUAUAGACCCGAAACCAGGUGAUCUAGCCAUGGGCAGGUUGAAGGUUGAGUAACAUCAACUGGAGGACCGAACCGACUAAUGUUGAAAAAUUAGCGGAUGACUUGUGGCUAGGGGUGAAAGGCCAAUCAAACCUGGAGAUAGCUGGUUCUCCCCGAAAGCUAUUUAGGUAGCGCCUCGGACGAAUACUACUGGGGGUAGAGCACUGUUAAGGCUAGGGGGUCAUCCCGACUUACCAACCCUUUGCAAACUCCGAAUACCAGUAAGUACUAUCCGGGAGACACACGGCGGGUGCUAACGUCCG